UACGAAGGGGGCUAGCGUUGCUCGGAAUCACUGGGCGUAAAGCGCACGUAGGCGGACUCUUAAGUCAGGGGUGAAAUCCUGGAGCUCAACUCCAGAACUGCCUUUGAUACUGGGAGCCUUGAGUUCGGGAGAGGUGAGUGGAACUGCGAGUGUAGAGGUGAAAUUCGUAGAUAUCAUUUGGAACGCCAAUGGUGAAAACAGCUCGCUGGGGGUGUGCUGACGCUGAGACACGAAAGCCAGGGGAGCGAACGGG
rnacentral:rRNA from 1 species